GGGACAUUUAUUGCUUUUGGCCUCAGCUCAUAUCAGCAUAGAUGCUUAGGAUACCUCGUAUCAGCAUAGAGGAGCUCAUAUCAGGAUCAGCUCAGCUCAUAUGAAGGUAGCUCUUCACAACAUGUAUAUGGCUCAGCUUUUCACAGUAUAGUCAUAGCUCAUAGAGUUGUUAAUCCGAGGCAUCCAUGAUAUCACCAUAACAACUGCUAUGCCACUGGAGAAGCUACUAUCGCUAUUGCCCUAAGGACCGGCCUACC
rnacentral:lncRNA from 1 species